GAUGAACGCUAGCGGUGUGCCUAACACAUGCAAGUCGUGCGAUCGAGCCAGACUAAUCAUCCUUCGGGGUGUGAAGACUGGUGACGGAGCGGCGGACUGGUGAGUAACACGUGGCUAACCUACCUUCUUGACGGGGAUAACUAUUCGAAAGAAUAGCUAAUACCCGAUAUUGCUGAAGAUCGAUGGAUCUUCAGCCAAAGGCGGCCUAGUCGUCACAAGAGGAUGGGGCUGCGCCCUAUUAGCUUGUUGGUAAGGUAAUGGCUUACCAAGGCAAUGAUGGGUAGCUGGUCUGAGAGGAUGAUCAGCCACAUUGGGACUGAGAUACGGCCCAGACUCCUACGGGAGGCAGCAGUGGGGAAUAUUUCACAAUGGGCGAAAGCCUGAUGGAGCAACACCGCGUGGGGGAUGAAUGCCUUCGGGUUGUAAACCCCUUUUCUGGGGGAAGAAUAAGGUCGGGAAGGAAUGCCCGUCCGAUGACGGUACUCCAGGAAUAAGGAUCGGCUAACUUCGUGCCAGCAGCCGCGGUAAGACGAAGGAUCCGAGUGUUAUCCGGAAUUACUGGGCGUAAAGGGCGUCUAGGCGGCCAAGUAAGUCACCCGUGAAAGUCCGCGGCUCAACCGCGGAAUGCCGGGUGAAACUGCUUGACUUGGGUAUAGGAGAAGAGGGUGGAACUCACAGAGUAGCGGUGGAAUGCGUAGAUACUGUGAGGUACCCCGAUGGCGAAAGCAACCCUCUGGCCUGCUACCGACGCUGAAGCGCGAAAGCGUGGGGAGCAAAGGGGAUUAGAUACCCCCGUAGUCCACGCCGCAAACGAUGUUCACUUGGUGUCGGUCGCUGAUACAGAUCGGUGCCGGAGCUAACGUGUUAAGUGAACCGCCUGGGGAGUACGGCCGCAAGGCUAAAACUCAAGAGAAUUGACGUGGCCUCGCACAAGCGAUGGAG
rnacentral:rRNA from 1 species